GAUGAACGCUAGCGGCAGGCCUAAUACAUGCAAGUCGGACGGGAUUCAGGAGCUUGCUUCUGAUGAGAGUGGCGCACGGGUGCGUAACACGUAUGUAACCUACCUUUAUCAGGGGGAUAGCCUCUCGAAAGAGAGAUUAAGCCCGCAUAAAAUCACAGCACAGCAUUGUGUAAUGAUCAAAUAUUUAUAGGAUAAAGAUGGGCAUGCGGAACAUUAGCUAGAUGGCGGGGUAACGGCCCACCAUGGCGACGAUGUUUAGGGGAUCUGAGAGGAUGGCCCCCCACACUGGUACUGAGACACGGACCAGACUCCUACGGGAGGCAGCAGUAAGGAAUAUUGGUCAAUGGGCGGAAGCCUGAACCAGCCAUGCCGCGUGCAGGAAGACGGCCCUACGGGUUGUAAACUGCUUUUAUACGGGAAGAAACCCAGAUACGUGUAUCUGGCUGAAUGUACUGUAAGAAUAAGGAUCGGCUAACUCCGUG
rnacentral:rRNA from 1 species